UACGGAGGGUGCAAGCGUUAAUCGGAAUUACUGGGCGUAAAGGGCACGUAGGCGGUCAGUCAAGUCGGAUGUGAAAUCCCUGGGCUCAACCUGGGAACUGCAUCCGAAACUGGCAGGCUGGAGUCUUGUAGAGGAGGGUAGAAUUCCAGGUGUAGCGGUGAAAUGCGUAGAGAUCUGGAGGAAUACCGGUGGCGAAGGCGGCCCUCUGGACAAAUACUGACGCUCAGGUGCGAAAGCGUGGGGAGCAAACAGG
rnacentral:misc_RNA from 1 species